AAGAAUUCAGCCAAAAGAGCUUGUGACAAGGAAGAGCCCCUUCAGGAUCAAGAACCAGGGACCGUCGCCCUGGCACGUGCCAGCACCGGGCUCUACGCUGAGCGCAGCGGCUGGCACUGAGCCGCGGAAGCCAGGACAGCGUGAUGGCCGUUCCCUCCCCCUCCUUGAGUGAUGCAGACCAAAGGGGCAGAGCGACUCCACCGUUAGCUCCCUGCCCCUACCACCGUCACCGCUGCUAUGCAGGAGUCUGGGCUGCUCCGCCUCUGAGGCUGCCAGAGCAGAUUAAGGGUGGUGCUAAGGGAAAGCCUCCCCAGAAUGCCUCCCCCGGUUUCCAAGGUUACAUGGAAGAGGCACUUCCUCUUCCUCCUCAGCCUCCUGGAGGAAGUUAGUUCCCUGUGAGCUGGUCUCUGGCCUUUGCCUGCAGCACCAGGAGCCUCAGAGCUCUGCCCUGGGUGGAGUGAGGCGUUUGAACACAGACUUCCUGGUACCAGAAAGCACCAUGCGAGAUUCCAGAGAUGGGAGACAACUCACAGUCCUUCCCAGCUCUGACACCUGUGAACCGCAUCAACCAGCAUGGCAUGACAACCCGGGUGCAGUUGUGGCAUGUGUGUGUACCUUGGACUAAAUUGGACUCAUUGGACUUAAGACCUGCUCAACAAGAGGGCAACCAUGCUUGAUACAGGAAACAAACCUAACUAUUCAGUGCUAGUGAGGUCAUGGUUAUUGGUAGAGAAUUUACAGCCACUAAUUUGCUAAACCAGCAUCAUCCCUAACAACAAUCUCUAAACAUUUGUCCUUAUGCCCACAGAUAAUUGUGGUCCUCACUGCUCAUCAAGGCAACUUUUCUUUGCAAUGUACGGAGACCACUACAGAAAAACACAAUCAAUCAAUAUGCAGAGUUGUAGAGGUCAGUCCCAAUGGAUGAGACUGAGAACAUGGGCAGAGAACAUGGGCAGAGAAGAGCCCAUGAGGCUUCAACCCCACAUAAAAAACUACAGAUAAGUGAAGCUACUAUCCCUCAUUUAAGACUCUUCUCUUUACAAAACAUGUGGAGACCAUCACAGAAACCACAACUGGACACAAUGCGGAAAUAAACCAGUGGGUCAAGGGGAGACCAGUACCAACGGAUACAUCUACAUCACAGCUGUGUCUCUGAACAGGUACCAAUAUGGAAGCGAGCUUGUGAAAGCUAAAAUACCAGGAAGUUUGCUCUGCAACAGUUUCUCCUAAAAAUGACUCUAUAAACAAGACCAGGACAACAGCAGUAUCAACGGACAUGUUGAUGUAGAACACCCCUAGACAAAGGACUACAGGCACCUAAUGACUGCUGAGAGGAGAAUUAGUUUCUCCCAGG